GGGGAAUAUUGGACAAUGGGGGCAACCUUGAUCCAGCCAUGCCGCGUGAGUGAUGAAGGCCUUAGGGUUGUAAAGCUCUUUCACCGGUGACGAUGAUGACGGUAACCGGAGAAGAAGCCCCGGCUAACUUCGUGCCAGCAGCCGCGGUAAUACGAAGGGGGCUAGCGUUGUUCGGAAUGACUGGGCGUAAAGCGCACGUAGGCGGCGGAUUUAGUCAGAGGUGAAAUCCCGGGGCUCAACCCCGGAACUGCCUUUGAUACUGGUUCGCUAGAGUCCGGAAGAGGGUGGCGGAAUACCCAGUGUAGAGGUGAAAUUCGUAGAUAUUGGGUAGAACACCGGUGGCGAAGGCGGCCACCUGGUCCGGUACUGACGCUGAGGUGCGAAAGCGUGGGGAGCAAAC
rnacentral:rRNA from 1 species